CCUACGGGAGGCAGCAGUGAGGAAUAUUGGUCAAUGGACGAGAGUCUGAACCAGCCAAGUAGCGUGAAGGAUGACUGCCCUAUGGGUUGUAAACUUCUUUUAUAUGGGAAUAAAAUGUUCCACGUGUGGGAUUUUGUAUGUACCAUAUGAAUAAGGAUCGGCUAACUCCGUGCCCGCAGCCGCGGUAAUACGGAGGAUCCGAGCGUUUUCCGGAUUUAUUGGGUUUAAAGGGAGCGUAGGGUGAUUGUUAAGGCAGUUGUGAAAGUUUGCGGCUCAACCGUAAAAUUGCAGUUGAAACUGGCAUUCUUGAGUACAGUAGAGGUGGGCGGAAUGCGUGGUGUAGCGGUGAAAUGCUUAGAUAUCACGAAGAACUCCGAUUGCGAAGGCAGCUCACUGGACUGCAACUGACACUGAGGCUCGAAAGUGUGGGUAUCAAACAGGAUUAGAUACCCGGGUAGUC
rnacentral:rRNA from 1 species